rnacentral:tRNA from 2 species
GCUUCCAUAGCUCAGCCGGUAGAGCACUUCCAUGGUAAGGAAGGGGUCGUCGGUUCAAAUCCGGCUGGAAGCUCCA